GACGAACGCUGGCGGCGUGCCUAAUACAUGCAAGUCGAACGCUUCUUUCCUCCCGAGUGCUUGCACUCAAUUGGAAAGAGGAGUGGCGGACGGGUGAGUAACACGUGGGUAACCUACCCAUCAGAGGGGGAUAACACUUGGAAACAGGUGCUAAUACCGCAUAACAGUUUAUGCCGCAUGGCAUAAGAGUGAAAGGCGCUUUCGGGUGUCGUUGAUGGAUGGACCCGCGGUGCAUUAGCUAGUUGGUGAGGUAACGGCUCACCAAGGCCACGAUGCGUAGCCGACCUGAGAGGGUGAUCGGCCACACUGGGACUGAGACACGGCCCAGACUCCUACGGGAGGCAGCAGUAGGGAAUCUUCGGCAAUGGACGAAAGUCUGACCGAGCAACGCCGCGUGAGUGAAGAAGGUUUUCGGAUCGUAAAACUCUGUUGUUAGAGAAGAACAAGGACGUUAGUAACUGAACGUCCCCUGACGGUAUCUAACCAGAAAGCCACGGCUAACUACGUG
rnacentral:rRNA from 1 species